GACGAACGCUGGCGGCGUGCUUAACACAUGCAAGUCGAACGGAAAGGCCUGCUUUCCCUUGUGGAUUGCGGGUACUCGAGUGGCGAACGGGUGAGUAACACGUGAGUGAUCUGCCCCCAACUUGGGUAUAAGCCUGGGAAACUGGGUCUAAUUCCCGAUAGGACUGCAGGGUGGUGCCUGUGGUGGAAAACGAUUUUCUAGUGGUUGGGGAUGAGCUCGCGGCCUAUCAGCUUGUUGGUGGGGUAAUGGCCUACCAAGGCGGCGACGGGUAGCCGGCCUGAGAGGGUGGACGGCCACAUUGGGACUGAGAUACGGCCCAGACUCCUACGGGAGGCAGCAGUGGGGAAUAAUGGACAAUGGGCGGAAGCCUGAUGCAGCGACGCCGCGUGGGGGAUGACGGCCUGCGGGUUGUAAACUCCUUUCGACCGCGAGGAAGCCACCUGGUUGGAAGGGUGGUGACGGUAGUGGUAGAAGAAGCACCGGCUAACUACGUG
rnacentral:rRNA from 1 species